AUUGAACGCUGGCGGCAGGCCUAACACAUGCAAGUCGAGCGAGCGGGGGACGGGUGAGUAAUGUAUGGGGACGGACCGAUAGAGGGGGAUAACUACUGGGAACGGUGGCUAAUACCGCAUACUAGCGGUUAACCCAUAUGGGAUUAGCUAGUAGGUGGGGUAAAGGCUGACCUAGGCGACGAUCUCUAGCUGGUGUGAGAGGCGGAGCAGCCACACGGGAACUGAGAAACGGCCCAUACUCCUACGGAGGCAGCAGGGGGGAAUAUUGCACAAUGGGCGCAAGCCGGAUGCAGCCAUGCCGCGUGUGUGAAGAAGGCCUUAGGGUUGUAAAGUACUUUCAGCUGGGAGGCGUUACCCGCAGAAGAAGCACCGGCUAACUCCGUGCCAGCAGCCGCGGUAAUAC
rnacentral:rRNA from 1 species